GGAAUAUUGCACAAUGGGGGAAACCCUGAUGCAGCAACGCCGCGUGAAGGAAGACGGAUUUCGGAUUGUAAACUUCUUUUCUUAGUGAAGAAGAAAGUGACGGUAGCUAAGGAAUAAGCAUCGGCUAACUACGUGCCAGCAGCCGCGGUAAUACGUAGGAUGCGAGCGUUAUCCUGACUUACUGGGUGUAAAGGGAGCGCAGGCGGGACCGCAAGUGGGAUGUGAAAAGCCGCAGCUUAACUGCGGAGCUGGAUCCAAAACUGUAGUUCUUGAGUGGAGUAGAGGCAAGCGGAAUUCCGAGUGUAGCGGUGAAAUGCGUAGAUAUUCGGAGGAACACCAGUGGCGAAGGCGGCUUGCUGGGCUCUAACUGACGCUGAGGCUCGAAAGUGUGGGGAGCAAAC
rnacentral:rRNA from 1 species